UACGUAGGGGGCAAGCGUUAUCCGGAUUUACUGGGUGUAAAGGGGGCGCAGACGGCGAUGCAAGCCAGGAGUGAAAGCCCGGGGCCCAACCCCGGGACUGCUCUUGGGACUGCGUGGCUGGAGUGCGGGAGGGGCAGGCGGAAUUCCUGGUGUAGCGGUGAAAUGCGUAGAUAUCAGGAGGAACACCGGUGGCGAAGGCGGCCUGCUGGACUGCAACUGACGUUGAGGCCCGAAAGCGUGGGGAGCAAACAGG
rnacentral:rRNA from 1 species